rnacentral:lncRNA from 1 species
AUGCUUCUUCUGCGUGGGACUCUUGUGGUAUUCUCUCUCUUCAGCUCUGUCAGUGGGUUUUUCGGCGAAUAUGGGCCAAAACCGACGACCCAGACCAAGGCAGGCUCCAAAGGAUGGGGCAUGCCCAACUUUAAAACAUUGAAAUCUAACAUUCCAUUCUUUGAUUUGGGAUCACGACUUUUAUUCGGUGGCACUAAAGGGUCUGCUACUACAAAGGUGAGCACAGCUUUCCCAGAAGCAACCACACAAAACUAUACUCUUUCUUCGAAGGACUUAAACCCAAAAUACCAGCCGACCACAACCUCGUUUGAGGUACUUCAAAGCAGCACUGUCCAGACAGGCACCCUGCUGCCUUUAAAAUCAGCUAAAUUGCCACAGAAAGAUGGAACAGAACCUCCUAAACUUUUUCAAAGCUAUGAUCUUGAUCUUUGGCCCCCUAAUAAUGGCCAAAGCACAGCGAAAACCCCACAAACAAUGAUAUCUAAACCAGAAACCCAAGCAUACACUGUAACCACGGCUCAGAGUACCAGCACCACGCACACUACAACACUGAGACCGAUUACGGAAACCAUGACCGUUUACAGUGACCAAACUGUACCCACAGAUACUCCGUCAACAAUGUCAGAACUCACAACACAAGCGUACACUGUAUCCACUGCUCAGAAUACCAGCAUCAUGCAAACUAAAGCACUAAAACUGAUGACGGAAACCAUGAACACUUACAGUGACCAAACUAUAGCCAUAGACACUCAGGCAACAACGUCACAACUUACGAUACCUUCAUUUCAAACCACACAUUUCCUCACACCAGCAGAAUCAGAAGUAUCUACCCAACCUUUGACCACUGUUAACACUGGACAUAACACAACAAACAUGGCCUCGAAACUAGAACGGACACCUUUUAAAACCACUGACAAGGCUCUGGAUGGAGUUUCGUGGGUAGAGCAGACCACAAGCCCAUCAGAAAAGAGAAGAGUGCAAAGUGUUGGCCCAGAUCCUACUCCCUCCCUAUCAGCAGGAGGUAAGUCAACCCCUCCUUUGUCUUUUCAUUUCCAACCCAAGCAUAUGAUCCAAGAUAAGCAAAAAUGUACACAAUUUGACCCAUCCAUAGCUGGCAUGGGUGUAUUACAGUACAUUUGUUCUUAUGUUAUACCUUUAUUUAAGGUGAAAAUGGGUGUUUAA